rnacentral:rRNA from 1 species
AUUUACAUGAGAGUUUGAUCCUGGCUCAGGACGAACGCUGGCGGCGUGCCUAAUACAUGCAAGUCGAACGGUCUUUUCUAUGGAAGCUUGCUUCCACUGAGAAGAUAGUGGCGAACGGGUGAGUAACACGUGGGUAACCUGCCCAUAAGAGGGGGAUAACAUCCGGAAACGGGUGCUAAUACCGCAUAGUUUUCUUGAUCGCAUGAUCGAGAAAGGAAAGACGGCCUUUGUGCUGUCGCUUAUGGAUGGACCCGCGGCGUAUUAGUUAGUUGGUGAGGUAACGGCUCACCAAGACGAUGAUACGUAGCCGACCUGAGAGGGUGAUCGGCCACAUUGGGACUGAGACACGGCCCAAACUCCUACGGGAGGCAGCAGUAGGGAAUCUUCCGCAAUGGACGAAAGUCUGACGGAGCAACGCCGCGUGAGUGAAGAAGGUUUUCGGAUCGUAAAACUCUGUUGUCAGAGAAGAACAAGU